AUCUUCAUUAUAUGAACAAUCAAGAGACACGACUCUUGAUUGUUCAUAUCUUCCGCCACAUAUUAUAAAAGAGAUAAAAAAUUGGCAGCAACAGCAACAACAACAAUGGCAGUGGCAGCAGGGGGGACAGGAGUACAUACCAGUGCUACCACCACGAUGGAACAGAGGAAGAGGAGGAGGUUGCGGUCGUCGAGGAAGUCGCGGUGGAAGUCGCGGACA